AGAGUUUGAUCAUGGCUCAGGACGAACGCUUGCGGCGUGCCUAAUGUAUGCAAGUCGAGCGGGGUGCUCCCUUCGGGGAGUUACCUAGCGGCGAACGGUUGAGUAACACGUAGGCAACCUGCCCCAGAGUUGGGGAUAACUCGGGGAAACUCGGGCUAAUACCGAAUGUGGCGGAGGAAGGCAUCUUUCUCCUGCUAAAGGAGCAAUUCGCUCUGGGAGGGGCCUGCGGCCUAUCAGCUUGUUGGUGAGGUAACGGCUCACCAAGGCGACGAUCCGUAGCUGGUCUGAGAGGACGACCAGCCACACUGGAACUGAGACACGGUCCAGACUCCUACGGGAGGCAGCAGUGGGGAAUUUUGGACAAUGGGCGCAAGCCUGAUCCAGCCAUGCCGCGUGAGUGAAGAAGGCCUUCGGGUUGUAAAGCUCUUUCGGCGGGGACGAAAAGGUCCGUGUUAACACCACGGAUCCAUGACGGUACCCGCAGAAGAAGCACCGGCUAACUACGUGCCAGCAGCCGCGGUAAUACGUAGGGUGCAGGCGUUAAUCGGAAUUACUGGGCGUAAAGCGUGCGCAGGCGGUUUGCUAAGACAGGUGUGAAAUCCCCGGGCUUAACCUGGGAACUGCGCUUGUAACUGGCAGGCUGGAGUGUGGCAGAGGGGGGUGGAAUUCCACGUGUAGCAGUGAAAUGCGUAGAGAUGUGGAGGAACACCGAUGGCGAAGGCAGCCCCCUGGGCUAACACUGACGCUCAUGCACGAAAGCGUGGGGAGCAAACAGGAUUAGAUACCCCAGUAGUCC
rnacentral:rRNA from 1 species